GACGAACGCUGGCGGCGUGCUUAACACAUGCAAGUCGAACGGUGAAGCGCUUUCCUUUUUGGUGGGUGUGGAUGAGUGGCGAACGGGUGAGUAACACGAGAGUAACCUGCCCUUUUCUUCUGGAUAACCGAAUGAAAGUGUGGCUAAUACGGGAUAUUCUGGGCCUGUGGCAGGAUGGGUCUGGGAGAGCUAUUGUGUCGGUGUGGGAUGGGCUCGCGGCCUAUCAGCUUGUUGGUGGGGGGAUGGCCUACCAAGGCGGUGACGAGUAGCCGGCCUGGGAGGGUGAGCGGUCCUACGAGGGCUACGACACGGAGCAGACUCCUGCGGGCGGCAGCAGUGGGGAAUAUUGCAAAAUGGGAGCAAGGCUGAUGCAGCGACGCCGCGUGAGGGAUGGACGCCUUCGGGUUGAGAACCUCUUUCGCGAGUGAAGCAGGCCUGGCUCGUGUCUGGGUGGGUUGACGGUAGCUGGAUAAGAAGCGCCGGCUAACUACGUG
rnacentral:rRNA from 1 species